ACAAGCGGUAGAAAAUGGAUGGAUAUUUUGCAUUCUAUUUUAGUUACUUUGCAUUUACAACCCCCUGGCGCUGUUUUGUACUGUUGUACUUAUUUUGAUUAUGAUUUCUCAACUGUUUGUAAAUGUUGCAAUUUAUAAAUAAAGGUUUAUAAAAUUAAAAAAAAAACAAAGACGGAAGACGACCCGAACGCCUAAGUUUGAAGAGGGUAGCAGGAACCCUGCCACACUUAAAAACUACAAAAAAAAAAAAAAAACUACAAAUGUGCUGACUUGCUUUACGGCCUACGUCACUUCCCCCUUUUCCUAUUCGUUACAAAGACGGAAGACGAUGCGAACGCCUGUGUGUAGUUACUGCUAUCAUGGCAGAAGCCGAAAAACAACAAAAAAAACGGAAAAUUUUGUCUGAGGAGACAAAAAAAAGAAAAAGGGAGUCUACCCGGAUAAAAGGACAGUCAAGGAUAAACAUUGGCCCGGCGUUCAAUCGCUGGCGUGCGCUCAAAGACGAGGAGGGAUUUUCGACCGAUGCUGCCUUGGCUCUGUUCCUGCUGGACCAGCCGCUUCUUGAAGAUAGCCGAAGUCGGGGCCGGUGGCAACAAGAGCCGCCUCACGCUGUCUAUGUCGGUCGAGUUCCGCGACUACUUGGGGGACUUCAUCGAACACAACGCCCAGUUGGGUCCCAGCAACCCGGGCAUGGUGCAGGAUGAGCCGCGGCGGGCCCUGAAAAGCGAGUUCCUAGUGCGGGAGAAUCGGAAGUACUACAUGGACCUGAAAGAGAACCAGCGGGGACGGCUCUUGAGGACCCGGCAGACCGUGAACAGGGGGCCCGGCUUGGGGUCAGACCAUCGCGCUCCCGGCGCAGGGACUUAUAGAGUUCCGCGACGCUUUGGCCAAACUUAUUGACGAUUACGGCGUGGACGAGGAGCCCGCGGAGCUGCCGGAGGGCUCGUCGAUGACGUGGGCUCCAACAAAUAUGAAAAAUACGAGAAGGAUCUUCUGACAUCACAACGCCAGUCUAUAGCAAAAGCUCCUCACCAACCUGUGUCUCCUGUUGUCUCUGACACGCAGUCGGAAAGGAGACAUCUGAAUCCUAUUACAGUCCAAAACAAGAUCCAUCCCCCCAUCUUCAUGGUAAAGGAAGAGGCCGAGGACGAGGCUCGGGCAGAGAUAGAGGUAGAGGUAUAACACGGGGUCAUUUCUGUCGCCAUUCCGAAAAAACUUUAUGGAGAAUUUAAAGCAAGCGGCCGUGUGACUGAAUUCUUGCUGAUAUAUUUUUUGUUUUUUUAUAUGGUCAUGGGUGUUAUUGUUUGUUUACACUGACAAAACCCCAACAUACUUUUCAUCAUCUUAAUUGUCUUCAUUCACAUUUAAAUAUUGAUUGUUAUAUUGUAUAUCCUUUUGUAAGUAAUUAAAUAUAUAUAUUUGGAAA